AUUGAACGCUGGCGGCAGGCCUAACACAUGCAAGUCGAACGGUAGCAGGAGGAAGCUUGCUUCUUCGCUGACGAGUGGCGGACGGGUGAGUAAUGUCUGGGAAACUGCCUGAUGGAGGGGGAUAACUACUGGAAACGGUAGCUAAUACCGCAUAACGUCGCAAGACCAAAGAGGGGGACCUUCGGGCCUCUUGCCAUCGGAUGUGCCCAGAUGGGAUUAGCUUGUUGGUGGGGUAACGGCUCACCAAGGCGACGAUCCCUAGCUGGUCUGAGAGGAUGACCAGCCACACUGGAACUGAGACACGGUCCAGACUCCUACGGGAGGCAGCAGUGGGGAAUAUUGCACAAUGGGCGCAAGCCUGAUGCAGCCAUGCCGCGUGUAUGAAGAAGGCCUUCGGGUUGUAAAGUACUUUCAGCGGGGAGGAAGGGAGUAAAGUUAAUACCUUUGCUCAUUGACGUUACCCGCAGAAGAAGCACCGGCUAACUCCGUG
rnacentral:rRNA from 1 species